rnacentral:misc_RNA from 1 species
GAUGAAGAACGUAGCGAAAUGCGAUAAGUAAUGUGAAUUGCAGAAUUCAGUGAAUCAUCGAAUCUUUGAACGCACCUUGCGCUCCUUGGUAUUCCGAGGAGCAUGCCUGUUUGAGUGUCAUGAAAUUCUCAACCUUUUCAGCUUUCUUUGUUGAUCAGGCUUGGAUGUGGGAGUAUGCGGGCUUCUCAGAAGUCGGCUCUCCUGAAAUGCAUUAGCGGGACCUUUGUUGCCUGGCUUUGGUGUGAUAAUUAUCUACGCCAUUGUAGUCAAGGAGCUUAAAGUGAGGUUUCAGCUUCUAACCGUCUCCCCUGAGACAACUUUUUGACAAUUUGACCUCAAAUCAGGUAGGACUACCCGCUGAACUUAAGCAUAUCAAUAAGCGGAGGA